rnacentral:rRNA from 1 species
GAGUAAUGUCUGGGAAACUGCCUGAUGGAGGGGGAUAACUACUGGAAACGGUAGCUAAUACCGCAUAAUGUCGCAAGACCAAAGAGGGGGACCUUCGGGCCUCUUGCCAUCGGAUGUGCCCAGAUGGGAUUAGCUUGUUGGUGGGGUAACGGCUCACCAAGGCGACGAUCCCUAGCUGGUCUGAGAGGAUGACCAGCCACACUGGAACUGAGACACGGUCCAGACUCCUACGGGAGGCAGCAUG